GGCCCCGUCGUCUAGAGGCCUAGGACGCCGCCCUCUCAAGGCGGUAGCGCGGGUUCGAAUCCCGUCGGGGCUA
rnacentral:tRNA from 1 species